rnacentral:rRNA from 1 species
GUGGGGAAUAUUGGACAAUGGGCGAAAGCCUGAUCCAGCAAUGCCGCGUGAGUGAAGAAGGCCUUCGGGUUGUAAAACUCUUUUAUCAGGGAAGAUAAUGAAGGUACCUGAUGAAUAAGCUCCGGCUAACUUCGUGCCAGCAGCCGCGGUAAUACGAAGGGAGCUAGCGUUGUUCGGAAUAACUGGGCGUAAAGGGCGCGUAGGCGGAUUGGUAAGUUUGAUGUGAAAUACCUGGGCUUAACCUGGGAAUUGCAUCGGAUACUGCUGAUCUGGAGUGUUGAAAGGGAUGAUGGAAUUAUGCAUGGAGAGGUGGAAUUCAUAGAUAUGCAUAGGAACACCGGAGGCGAAGGCGAUCAUCUGGGCAACAACUGACGCUGAGGCGCGAAAGCGUGGGGAGCAAACAGGAUUAGAAACCCCGGUAGUCC